rnacentral:rRNA from 1 species
CCUACGGGAGGCAGCAGUGGGGAAUAUUGCACAAUGGGGGAAACCCUGAUGCAGCGACGCCGCGUGAGUGAAGAAGUAUUUCGGUAUGUAAAGCUCUAUCAGCAGGGAAGAAAUAGCGACCUUUGGGUCGCCAGACGGUACCUGAUCAAGAAGCCACGGCCAACUACGGGCCAGCAGCCGCGGUAAUACGUAGGGGGCAAGCGUUAUCCGGAUUUACUGGGUGGAAAGGGGGCGUAGACGGCAGCGCAAGUCUGAAGUGAACUGCCGGGGCUUAACCCCGGAACUGCUUUGGAAACUGUGCAGCUAGAGUGCAGGAGAGGUAGGUGGAAUUCCUGGUGUAGCGGUGAAAUGCGUAGAGAUUAGGAGGAACACCAGUGGCGAAGGCGGCUUACUGGACUGUAACUGACGUUGAGGCUCGAAAGCGUGGGGAGCAAACAGGAUUAGAUACCCGUGUAGUC